rnacentral:rRNA from 1 species
ACACGUGAGUAACCUGCCCUUGACUCUGGGAUAAGCCUGGGAAACUGGGUCUAAUACCGGAUAUGACCUUUCACCGCAUGGUGGGGGGUGGAAAGCUUUUGUGGUUUUGGAUGGACUCGCGGCCUAUCAGCUUGUUGGUGGGGUAAUGGCCUACCAAGGCGAUGACGGGUAGCCGGCCUGAGAGGGUGACCGGCCACACUGGGACUGAGACACGGCCCAGACUCCUACGGGAGGCAGCAGUGGGGAAUAUUGCACAAUGGGCGCAAGCCUGAUGCAGCGACGCCGCGUGAGGGAUGACGGCCUUCGGGUUGUAAACCUCUUUCAGUAGGGAAGAAGCCGCAAGGUGACGGUACCUGCAGAAGAAGCGCCGGCUAACUACGUGCCAGCAGCCGCGGUAAUACGUAGGGCGCAAGCGUUAUCCGGAAUUAUUGGGCGUAAAGAGCUCGUAGGCGGUUUGUCGCGUCUGCUGUGAAAGACCGGGGCUCAACUCCGGUUCUGCAGUGGGUACGGGCAGACUAGAGUGAUGUAGGGGAGACUGGAAUUCCUGGUGUAGCGGUGAAAUGCGCAGAUAUCAGGAGGAACACCGAUGGCGAAGGCAGGUCUCUGGGCAUUAACUGACGCUGAGGAGCGAAAGCAUGGGGAGCGAACAGGAUUAGAUACCCUGGUAGUCCAUGCCGUAAACGUUGGGCACUAGGUGUGGGGAGCAUUCCACGUUUUCCGCGCCGUAGCUAACGCAUUAAGUGCCCCGCCUGGGGAGUACGGCCGCAAGGCUAAAACUCAAAGGAAUUGACGGGGGCCCGCACAAGCGGCGGAGCAUGCGGAUUAAUUCGAUGCAACGCGAAGAACCUUACCAAGGCUUGACAUGGA